GACGAACGCUGGCGGCGUGCUUAACACAUGCAAGUCGAACGGAAAGGCCCUGCUUUUGUGGGGUGCUCGAGUGGCGAACGGGUGAGUAACACGUGAGUAACCUGCCCUUGACUUUGGGAUAACUUCAGGAAACUGGGGCUAAUACCGGAUAGGAGCUCCUGCUGCAUGGUGGGGGUUGGAAAGUUUCGGCGGUUGGGGAUGGACUCGCGGCUUAUCAGCUUGUUGGUGGGGUAGUGGCUUACCAAGGCUUUGACGGGUAGCCGGCCUGAGAGGGUGACCGGCGACAUUGGGACUAAGGGACGGCCCAGACGGCUACGGGAGGCAGCGGUGGAGAAUAUUGCACAGUGGGGGGAAGCGUGAGGCAGCGACGCCGCGUGCGGGAUGACGGCCUUCGGGUUGUAAACCGCUUUCGGCUGUGACGAAGCGUGAGUGACGGUAAUGGGUAAAGAAGCACCGGCUAACUACGUG
rnacentral:rRNA from 1 species